GACAGAGGGUGCAAGCGUUGUUCGGAAUUACUGGGCGUAAAGGGCGCGUAGGCGGUCCGCUAAGUUCGGCGUGAAAUCCCCUGGCUCAACUGGGGAACGGCGCUGGAUACUGGUGGACUCGAGUACCGGAGAGGAGAGUGGAAUUCCUGGUGUAGCGGUGAAAUGCGUAGAUAUCGAGAGGAACACCAGUGGCGAAGGCGGCUCACUGGGCUCUACCUGACGCUGAGGCGCGAAAGCGUGGGGAGCGAACCGG
rnacentral:rRNA from 1 species